ACGAACGCUGGCGGCGUGCCUAAUCCAUGCACGUAGCACGCUGAAGAGAGGAGCUUGCUCUUCUUGGAUGAGUUGCGAACGGGUGAGUAACGCGUAGGUAACCUGCCUUGUAGCGGGGGAUAACUAUUGGAAACGAUAGCUAAUACCGCAUAACAAUGGAUGACACAUGUCAUUUAUUUGAAAGGGGCAAUUGCUCCACUACAAGAUGGACCUGCGUUGUAUUAGCUAGUAGGUGAGGUAAUGGCUCACCUAGGCGACGAUACAUAGCCGACCUGAGAGGGUGAUCGGCCACACUGGGACUGGGACACGGCCCAGACUCCUACGGGAGGCAGCAGUAGGGAAUCUUCGGCAAUGGGGGCAACCCUGACCGAGCAACGCCGCGUGAGUGAAGAAGGUUUUCGGAUCGUAAAGCUCUGUUGUAAGUCAAGAACGGGUGUGAGAGUGGAAAGUUCACACUGUGACGGUAGCUUACCAGAAAGGGACGGCUAACUACGUG
rnacentral:rRNA from 1 species